UGCACUAAAAAAGAAGAGAAAAGAAAACAAAUUGCUGAUGUCAUUAAGUAUGCACACAUGCACAGAAACAGACAUACAUACAUAGAACAAGCGAGAUGGAGCGUGGAAGGAGCGGCAGCGGAUAUAGGAAAGGGAGAGGUCCUGUGAAUUGUCAUUGGAUGUGUGUAAGAACAAAUACCAAUAGCAAAUAUGCAAAAGUGGAAUUAUAUACCGAGAACAACAAUAGCGGCAAACAGCAAUCACAAUCACGGUUUGUAUUACCGGCGAAAUAGCAGUGAAUGAGGAAGAGAGGGGACAGCACAGAGAAUUCUCAGAAAUAAUUGCCGCAAACAGAAAUCCGUAAAUAAAUCCGCAUACAAGAAGAGCAUAUCCUGGCAAGGAUAUUACGGCAAAGGCAUACAAAUGCGCUCAAUUCAGGGAGUUGUUGUUGUUUUUUUGCUUUGUUUUGUUUUUCGUUAUGCGAAAAAGCGCGAUCUCAUUGAAUGCCUCAACGUUUCGGUAUUAUUUAAAUGCCAACAGAGACAGAAAGUAUGUAACACAUUAAAAAAUGUAUGAAAUUGCGAUGCGCAGCGGGAAAAAUUCAACUGAAAUGAUAACGUGUCAUGUAGAUGUACGUGUAUAUGUAUGUGUUUAUGUAAAAAUCUUCGCUUGGUGGUAAUAUCAGGCAGGGGUUGCUGACGUUUGCUUUGCAAGACAACAUACAACUCUGACUUAAAGAACAUGUCAGCGCUGAAUGAAAGCGUAUUUUGUUUUUAUUUAUAUUAUACAGAUUUCCCCCCCCUACGCUGAGGGGCGGUUUUUCUUUGUGCUCCAUUGCCCUUGGGGGAGCACUUCUACUAUAUGCGGGUACAACUAGCAACAGUACAAUAGUAGGGUAUAAAAGGAAUGAAAUAAAUAUGAAUAAAACAAAAAUAAGU